CUCUUCCCUAGGAUACGUGGCUCUUUCUUUUCUCAAACGUGUAACAUCAGGCUCCUCUUGUUUUUGGUGGUUUCAGUUGUUUUCUUAGUUUGCUAACACCUGUGUUUCAUGGGGAUCAACAAUAAACUUUGGGGGUUAAACAUUAUCUCUUCAGGUUUUUAUGGGAUCAGCGAUAUAUUUUGGGUUAAAGAUUAUCUGUUCAGAUUGUACAGAACAAAUGAAGUACAGACUAACCAUUGGCAAUAUCACUCCACAAACAAAAGAGUGGAUCUCAAAAGUACAAGUGAUUGAGAAACCUCGGCCAAGAAAAAGUAAAGAUGGAAAGACCUGAUUCCAGAUUGUCGUUGUUCAAGACGAAAAUGAAAAGAAAGUGGCUGCUGUUUUGUACGGGGAAGACAUAGAAAAGUAUGCAGACAAGCUCACCCCGUUUUCCACUUACUUGAUAUCUACUGCAAAAGUGAGGGUUCCUUUACCAUAUGGUGUACCUAUCAACUGUUUGAAUGGGUUAUCGACAGAUUUACUGUUGUCGAAGAGGUGAAAGAUGAUAACUUACAAGACCCGCCGCUCCCGCCUCCGACGAGGUUGAAUACUGUACCCUUUGCAUAUCUGCACGACCAACAGCGAAAUACAGAAUUUGACAUAAUUGCUGUUGUGGUGAAAUGUGGCUCGGUAAAGUAUGCUGGAGUUAACAAUAUCGAAUGCC